rnacentral:lncRNA from 10 species
GCUCAGAAGGUUAGUUCCAAAUGUGUGUCUCCCGCUGAACAGAAGAAACAGGUAGAUGUAAAUAUAAAAUUAUGGAAAAACGGAUUCACCGUCAACGACGAUUUCAGAAGUUAUUCCGAUGGUGCCAGUCAGCAGUUUUUGAACUCCAUCAAAAAGGGGUGAGUAGCCAGGUGUGGUAGGUCAAGCCUGUAAACCCAAAACUUUGGCAGGCUGUGGCGAGAGGAUUGCCUGAGCUCAGGAGUUCAAGGCCAGCCGGGGAACAUAGCCAGACCUCAUCUCUACUUAAAAAAAGAAAAUUACCAGCCAGCCCAGCUACUCAGGAUUGCUUGCACUUGGGAGACUGAGGCUACAGUGAGCCAUGCUUGCACUACUGCACUCCAGCCUGGGCAACAGCACGAUGCCC